rnacentral:piRNA from 1 species
UGAAGAAUCUUUUUUGAUGGUUCUCUGCCG